GAUGAACGCUGGCGGCGUGCCUAAUACAUGCAAGUCGAGCGGACGGACGAGAAGCUUGCUUCUCUGAUGUUAGCGGCGGACGGGUGAGUAACACGUGGAUAACCUACCUAUAAGACUGGGAUAACUUCGGGAAACCGGAGCUAAUACCGGAUAAUAUUUUGAACCGCAUGGUUCAAAAGUGAAAGACGGUCUUGCUGUCACUUAUAGAUGGAUCCGCGCUGCAUUAGCUAGUUGGUAAGGUAACGGCUUACCAAGGCAACGAUGCAUAGCCGACCUGAGAGGGUGAUCGGCCACACUGGAACUGAGACACGGUCCAGACUCCUACGGGAGGCAGCAGUAGGGAAUCUUCCGCAAUGGGCGAAAGCCUGACGGAGCAACGCCGCGUGAGUGAUGAAGGUCUUCGGAUCGUAAAACUCUGUUAUUAGGGAAGAACAUAUGUGUAAGUAACUGUGCACAUCUUGACGGUACCUAAUCAGAAAGCCACGGCUAACUACGU
rnacentral:rRNA from 1 species